CACCGCGGUUAUACGAGAGGCCCAAGUUGACGGACAUCGGCGUAAAGAGUGGUUAAUAAAUAUGACACUAAAGUCGAACACCUUCAGGACUGUCAUACGCGUCCGAAGGCAGGAAGCCCCCCAACGAAAGUGGCUUUAACAAAAAUGAACCCACGAAAGCUAGGAAA
rnacentral:rRNA from 1 species